rnacentral:misc_RNA from 1 species
GAUGAAGAACGCAGUGAAAUGCGAUAAGUAAUGCGAAUUGCAGAAUUUCCGUGAGUCAUCGAAUCUUUGAACGCACAUUGCGCCCACUGGUAUUCCGGUGGGCAUGCCUGUUCGAGCGUCAUUAUCCUCCCUCAAACCCCGGGUUUGGUGUUGGACCCAAGUUGUGUGAACAACUGGUCUUAAAGACAAUGACGGCGUCCGUGGGACCCUCGGUGCAACGAGCUUUUAGGAGCACGCAUCGAGUUGCAAGGACCUUCCGGGCCGGUCUCCUUUACUAUUUUACAAGGUUGACCUCGGAUCAGGUAGGAAUACCCGCUGAACUUAAGCAUAUCAAUAACGGAGGA